UUUUUUUUUUUUUUUUUGCCGUGCUUUGGAUCUGAGAUGUCAAAGUACUUCACAAACAAAUAACUGGAAACAGUUUGGGGUGAAGGCUCUUUAUAACUGAGAGCAGGGCCCACAGAGGAAGCGAUUCGCCCAAGGUCAUGGGCUGAAUCGGAGGGACAGCUGGAAAGAGUAGGCAUGAAUACUGGCUCCCACAGUCAGAGCUCAUGUCCACUAGUCUACGCCUUCCCACACACGCCAAAACAAGCCCCCAAAGUCGGGAGACAGCAGCAGACCAGAGAAGUCACAUGCCCUCCAACGCCUAAGUUGUCCAUGCUGACAAUUUGCUGUACAGAAUGGAAGCUGGGUGUGCAGGUCAAAGGUCUUUACAGACUGCUGUUGGGCUAAAGCCAGGAAAAGGAGUUGCUAGUGAAAAUGUAUAGGGUUCUAUGCUUGUUUGGGGCAGCCUGGCUUUCCACCUGAGCUCCUGAGUGUAUUCAUCAGAUUCUUCAAGCUGUCAGCCUUCCAGGAGGGCCUGAUGGCUCACAUAGCCCUUGUUCUCAGCCCACCUGGCAGGUCUCAUCUUUCUCUGGUCGGUUCCCUCCAGAACCUGGUCUGUGUACCCAGGGUUGGCAGGGGAGAUUCAGAGGAGGAGGGGAGAAAGGGCAUGGGAGAGGGUGAAAGAGAGAGAGGAAAAGAAGAAAGUGGAAAAGAAAAAAAUAAAAAUAGAGAGAUGGGCCUGUUUUAAAACCUUUGCAGGCCCUAGGACCUCUUUGUAAGGAGGCUUUGUCCCACAAAUAUAUUAUAAUCCAAAUAUAUUACAUUCCCACACUGAAUACAAUUUAUUCACGAUUAUUUACCAGUUGAGUUUGGUUGAAGUUUGCUGGCUGAUAAUGUUAUGGCUUUGUAGAUAUUUAAUUAAACAUUUAAUAAUUUUGAUUUUACACUUUGCUUCUCUGCCUUUUAGAGCUCAUAUUUUUUCUUUCCAGGCCCUUGAAAUGUUUAUAAGACAUAGGCACUAUAUGUAUUGACCUUAAAACAGCCCAGAGGGCUAGAAGAAGGGAGAGAUGAGGGGGGAAGGGAGAGAUGAGGGGGGGAAAAACAAUGUUGAUUAAGACAGCAAGAAACAGACUCGAAACCACAUGGGGACAAAUUUCACAAAGCAGACAGAGGGAGCCCUCAAAACUACAGAACUGUUGGUUAGAAAAAAGAAAGAAUGCAAGCUUUACCAGGAUAGUUCCAGGAAAAUAAAAAGAAGAAUAGAUGAAAGACUAAUCCAACCACAGAUGAGAAAAAAAAAAAAUCUCUCUCUGAUUAUUCAAUAAUUUAUUGAACACAGGGCCAGAUACUGUGCUUGGCUUCUGAGAUACCCAGUCAGAUCAGAUACAGCCUCUACUCUCAAGGAAUUUACUGUUUUAUUGAGGGAGACAGAAAGGUAAACAAACAGCUCAGAUCUGUGAUAAGGACACAAAUUGAAGUAAGCGUGAGAGGUUAAGGCAGGCAGAUGCUCCUGGAAGGUUCAAAGGCACCGAGGUGUGACCAGGAAUGAGACGGAACCUGAGGGGAAGUUAGGUGUGGUGCGGGGGGUAGGAGGGCAAGUAGGAAAGUGGGUGUGAGAGGAGACGGAGGGUCACGGGGCGGGCUGAAAAGGAUCACACUAAAUUGAUAGCAGAUCAUGAGCACUUGGACUUAUUCUUCAGUCUAAGGUCAGCCAAGAAUGGUUUCCAAGCAGGGGAGGGGCCUCAUGCACUCCAGUUAGGGCUGAUUUGGGCUGAGGCACCGGGGAUCCAGGGAAGAGGCCAUUGCACUCCUACCAUUGGAGGAAAGGGCCUGGAGCCAGCCAGCGCCGUGGAGAUAGUGAGGUGGGUCACUUGGAGACGUAUUUAGGGGACAGUGGGCGGGGUUGGUAACCAGUUGCAAGUGGGAGAUGAGUGCAAGAGAGGACUCAAGGAUGACUCCCAGGUUUCUGGUUAUUCAUUGAGAAAGGGGAUGUAAGAGAAGGAACAGGUUUGGAGGAGAGACUUUUCAUUUCCCCCAAACCUGAUGACCCUCAGGCAGGUGCCAUGCCCCAGUAGGGCCCUUGGAAAGCGGUCAGGAAACCCCAGCAAAACUCUUUAAGAGGUGUGGCAAGCAGGGAUGCAGAGUCACUAGCAGAUUAUGAGUUUCUCUAUGGGGAUUCUUGGCCAAGACAGAAACAUGGCCCAGAGGCCAAAUGCUAGAGAUCUUUCCACUUGGCCUCAGAAGAAAGGUGCUUGAAACUAGCAGGGAUGAAGAAGGAACAUGAUGGGCACCUCUAAGACUGUUGAACGCUGGACUGGGGCUCCAGUUGUGAUUCAUAGUUGGGAAGGGUGUUUAUUGGAUGUUAGCUCAUGAAAGCUCCCAACUGUAUCUAGAAGUCUGUAUUCUCCCAGACUAGCGACGGAACCUAUGUAACAGCAUGUUGAAUUGAGACACAGACAUCUAUCAAUCGCACCAAAAUUCAUUGGCUUAAACUCCAUCACCCAGAGCUGACCCUUUGCUAUCGCAGGAAGUAAAGGGCUAGAAAUAAGUGCCAUCGGAAGCUGAGUCUAAGUAGCUCUGUGAUCAUGGACAUUUUGAGACACAGAUUCGGUGUGGGCUUUCAAACAGAUGGAUCUGCUAGCAUGAAAUUGCCAAGAGUAAAAAGAGAACGCUAGUUUAAUACACACGGCUGGGGAAGAGGCCGGGACCGGAUUCCCCAAUCCUGGCCCAGGACUUGCUCAGCAUUCACAGCAAGUAUGCAGCCCCAGAGCAAAGCAACCAUGUUUCUUUCCCCCAUUUUUGAUGUUGGCAAAGGGAAGACAAACGAGGGUUCUCUGGUUUGGGGACGGCGUGAAUGAACCACACGUGUCCAUAAAUAAACCAAGAGCCCUCCAAACACACUGCUCAUUUGUUCGCACAAAAGCCAGGCUGGCAGCCCUCUCACCGAGCCAUGUUCACAGUUGGAUCCUUAAUGCAUUGUGAGCGUUCAAUCAAACUUUUAGUGGUGAAACUCUGGGAGCAGAAAGCCAGCUAAGCCCAAAUGGUCCCUUGGCUUUUCCAUCUUUUGUGGCUGCCUGGCUGUGCUCUUAUGGGUUUUGUUGUCAACAAACUCCUGGCUUGCCUUUGAGCACUCCAAAUUAUUGAAAAUGACUACAGCUUAAGACUGGCAGGAUGAUUGUUAAAAAACAGCCCUGGCAUUAAUCAUAGCUUAAGAGCUUUUGGAAAAUGAUUCUAAUUCAGAAGGGGUGGCUUACAAAGAGGCUUGUCGAAAGCGAAGCAGGCAUCAAAUUCUGAAAGGCAAAAAAAAAAAAACCCUCCUUGGCACCCACACCUGGCUUCUUCCUGAAACCCAGCUGGCAGGAGCGUGGGGGGCACAGUUCACCCCACCAGCUCAUCCUGUCUGAGGCCACCUUGAGCCUGCCACGAGACCCACAGCAUGCUUCCCCCUGGAUGCAGGGCUGUUGAGACUGGAAAGACUUCUGGGAGCGCCCACAGUCACAAAUUUACUAGUGGUCCUCAGAAUCAGGAAGAAGUGGCUGGGCGCCUCAUAUUCUGUCAACAGUUGGAUGCCUUAGAACCAGUGCUAAAAUAAGCUGUGUGCACAGAGGCAGCUGCGUGGGCAAACACACGGUCAGCAUUUGCAAGGAGCCAGGCAGGGCAACGAGCUAAUCCUUCUGCCUCUUGCCUGCUUGGCACAACAAAGGAGAAUGAUUUUUGCCAUCAGCAUUCUCCCUAUCACGGAAUCAUUGCACAAUUUAGUAUGAUUAAUGGUUUCCAUUUAGGAGAAGCUGAGAAUGAAAACAGUGGGAGAGAGGCGGCAACCCGGCUGGGGGUGUUUGUGGCUGCACCUCAGGCGGAAGGGGGGGGCAGAGCUGGCCAAUGGCCUCUACCUUUCCUGCAGGCACGACUGGGGAGGCACUCUGGGGAGAAGAGACACAUGGCUUUGGACAUGCAUUUGCAGGAACAGUCUGAAAGCUGCAACCUUGUGACGCACUGUUUGCUGUUUCCUCCUUGCAGCCUUCCAAAUGUUUGUGUAGGAGAAGCUACUCCCUCUUGACCAGCCCAAGGGAGGGCUUUUCCUCCCAGAGGUUCCUAACUAAGGGUUGGCUCUGGGAGGCAGCGUGGUGAUGGGGCUGGAUGGCUGAAAUUCGCAGAGCUACCUAUGCCACUUCUUGGCAUUCCUGAUGGCCACGUGGGGGUGCCACGCAGGGAAGGACCCCCACCUUCACACUAGGAUGGUAGCCGUGACCUUCAACACGGCCACCUCUGUCUCUGGAGCUCUGUGGGUACACCUAGUCUCAGCUCUGAGCGGCUGGCUCUCCCGGGAGUUCUUCUCUGCUCUGCAGCAUCCUUCCCUUUCCGCGUCGGCAGGCUCUGCUUCUGGUCAGAUUUCACGGCUGCUGGAGCAGGGUCCUUCCACCUGUAGCACGGCGACUGCCUGGUUGUUUAAAGGCUCUGGAUGGCAGAAUCAAAGGAACAUUUUUCCAUGGAGUUAAGUCCACAGCAGUGCAAGAAUUACAUUGCAAGUAGACAGAGGACAGUUAAAGAUUGCGCCAAUUAACACCUACAUAGCACCUGGGGGUUCCAGUUGAUGUAUUUGGAGAACACAAGCUGGCCAAAACAUUUGUGAAAACUCUCUGGAGGAACUGAGGACCGUUUCAUUCUUACACCAAAGGAAGGACCAGGCCACUUAUCAAGCUCCUGCUGACACAGGUUGCUGCGGGCAACCAUGCUUCUUUGCCUACCCCCUGGAACUCAAUCACCACCUCACAUUUGCCUCAGUUCAGUUAAGGUCUUUCUUGGGUCCCCCUUCUCUGCAGGUCACAGCUGCAUCUGGAGUCUCAUGUGACAGACAAGGGGAGUGGGUGUGGGACUCUAAACAUUCCAUAUGGCAUGUGGCCUGGAAUAACUACACUAGUGUGUGGUGGGGACAAGGGGAUCCUUGGACGUCCUAAGACCAGCUUCACAAGGGCAUGGCGUGUCCACAUGCAUAAGAGCCCAGAUAGCUCCCUUCACUUGAGCCCUAACCGCAUCUUGGUAUCCUUGGGUAACCUUCUACCUUUAAUCACCAUCUGCAUCUAUCCUGUAUUAUGACUAACAUGUAACCACAUCUGGCAUAUUAUUCGCUAAUAAGCCCUUCCAGCCAAUCUGACUUCUCUCUCUUAAAAUGGUGACCCCUCCCUUACAGAGCAGGAAAACAAGGCCAGGUAGGUGGGGAAACUCGCCCAAGGCUUCACAGCUAACAAAUGAUGAGGUGGGGAUAGGGACCAAGGCCAUCUCUUAGAUCUCUCCCGUCUCCCUUGAUCUCUAGGCUCUGUCACUACAGGUCUUUUUAGAGUCUGAUGAUAGUGCUCCCCACUGCUCCCUGCCCUGGGGCAGAGGCUAGGAGAGGCCUCUGGAAUCUUAACUCUUGUCUGGACUUUGAGAACACCCACAAGACUGAUCCCACCCUCCGUGCCUGCCUUGAUUUUGCUUUAUUCUUCCCAUGCGAAUCAGCAGACUGGCUGGGCUUAAUGCUGUCUGUACCUUGGACUCACUUCUCUUUUCACUAAACUUUCCUUAAAGGUCCAGCUGGAGUCCCAGCUCCUCUAGGACACUGUCUUGAGUCUCCAGCCUCCUCUGAUUUUCCUUCUCCAAGAAAUCCCCCUGGCACUCUCUGGGCUCCUUAUACUUGGGAUACCUCCCCCAUGGCUGGGGACCAUUUCAUGUUUUCCUGUGGCUGUCACUGAUGCCCCGGUUAGUCUGCAGGGCCAACCUUACGCUUCCCUGUGUUUCUCACAAGGCUGAACGUGCAGCAGGAGCUCCAUAACCACGUGUCUGCUUUGCUGAUUUUUACAGAGACAGGUGAGAGGCCAGGCUGGGAUGGGAGAGGCUGAAAUGAGGCCCACAGCCUCAUUUGGAUUUUCUGGAGCUUACCUUUUCUCCCACCGCCGAGCUCUCCCCGUCACCUGCCUGAAGAGAGAAAAAGGGGGCGGACUCAGCCACAGCUGGGUGAGCGGUGGGAAAGGGCCGUCUGGGGCCGCUCAUGUGUGAUCUGAGCAUUUGAGAGAUCAGUCACCAUACAGUGCGGUCGCCUGGGCCUGCAAGGCAAUGGGGAAAGUGACAGACCGAAUCAGGUGGUCCACCCGGCCUGGAGGCCCCGGCAGCCUAGACAGCAAGUGAGAACGGUCUCCCGCAGGCAGCCAGGCUCGUCCUCUGCAGACCUUGUCUUUUUGUUAAAGGAGAGAGUACUGGAAAUGAAGAAGGAAGGAUGAUUGUGAAGACACGAAAUCCCAAAGGAAGAGACAGGUGGAGCAGCCAACACAGGGGAGUGGGUGGGGUGGUGGGUGGAAACGGGGGAGUGGGGGCAGGAGACGGAUCCACCGGAGGGGCCGUUCCCCGCUGGCCUGCCAUUGCAGCCGGCGUGCCUGCACAAAUCACUGGGUCCUGCGUGAUGCCAGACACCUGGCCCACCUGGCCGCUAAGAGGGGAGGAGAGAACGAGAACAGGAAGGAUGAGCAGAGGAAAAGAAGGCGGUUCCAAGAAGCCCGGCCAACAGCGCCUCCGAGCAUCUACUGCCCGAGUUUCCGGCCCUGCACGCGGUCCUAAGGUGGACGUUGGACCAGGGACCCAUCUUCUCCCAGGCUGAGGCGUCCGUAAGAAGUCCAUAAUGAGAUGAAAGGAUCACUUUGUAACAUUAAUCUUUUUUUAUUAAGAAGACAGAUAUUUUAUAGUACUUAUUUUUUUUUCUUUUUUUUUUGUAAAAAUGGUAUACAUGAACCAAUACAAAAUGCGAAUGGAACAUAUGGAUAUGGAAUUUCUUACACCGUCACAUCGUUCAUGUACACCUUAAAAACAGAACUGGCCUAAAGGGAAAAGUCAGACGUCGGUGUGACUAAAGAACAAGCUUAUUUGGCAUCAAUUAUACAUCCUUCAUUAUUUUAUAUUCCUUUAAAAAACACAAAAAACAAGUUUGUUCUUUCUUCACUCUAAAAAAAGUGAUCAACCUGUACAAAGUAAUACUCAACAAUACAUUUCAAACAGUGCACUGUAUACUUAAGAAAAAAAUACAUAAACCAAUAUACAACUAAAAUCCAUAAUUUCCUGUUUUUGCUUUGUUUUAUUAUUAUUAUUAUUAUUAUUACUUU